GACGAACGCUGGCGGCACGCCUAACACAUGCAAGUCGAGCGGUAACAUGAUUUGUAGCAAUACAAAUUGAUGACGAGCGGCGGACGGGUGAGGAACACGUAGGAAUCUGCCCAGAAGCGGGGGACAACCAAGGGAAACUUUGGCUAAUACCGCGUAAUCUCGCAAGAGUAAAGCUGCCCGCAAGGGUGGCGCUUCUGGCGGAGCCUGCGUCCGGUUAGCUCGUUGGUGAGGUAAGAGCUCACCAAGGCGAUGAUCGGUAACUGGUCUGAGAGGACGACCAGUCACACUGGGACUGAGACACGGCCCAGACUCCUACGGGAGGCAGCAGUGGGGAAUAUUGGACAAUGGGGGCAACCCUGAUCCAGCGAUGCCGCGUGGGUGAAGAAGGCCUUCGGGUUGUAAAGCCCUUUAGGUUGGGAAGAAGUGUACGGGGCGAAUAACCCCGUAUGUUGACGGUACCGACAAAAUAAGCACCGGCAAACUCUGUGCCAGCCGCCGCCGUAA
rnacentral:rRNA from 1 species